rnacentral:rRNA from 1 species
AAGAAUAAGCACCGGCUAAUUCCGUGCCAGCAGCCGCGGUAAUACGGAAGGUGCAAGCGUUAUCCGGAAUCACUGGGUUUAAAGGGUGCGUAGGCGGUUGCGUAAGUCAGAAGUGAAAGCUCACAGCUUAACUGUGGAAUUGCUUUUGAUACUGCGUGACUAGAAUUAGGUUGAGGUUGGCGGAAUGUGACAUGUAGCGGUGAAAUGCAUAGAUAUGUCAUAGAACACCAAUUGCGAAGGCAGCUGACUGGACCUAUAUUGACGCUGAGGCACGAAAGCGUGGGGAGCGAACAGGAUUAGAUACCCUGGUAGUCCACGCCCUAAACGAUGCUUACUCGAUGUGUGAACUAUUGCGCAUCCAAGGGAAACCGUUAAGUAAGCCACCUGGGGAGUACGUUCGCAAGAAUGAAACU